rnacentral:ncRNA from 2 species
UGCUCAUCCAGAGGGGUGGAGGGACCGGCCCUGCGAAGCCCCGGCAACCCUCCCGGUUCAAGACUCGUUUUUCUGACGAGGUCGGCCGGGACAGGUGCCAAUUCCGGUCUGUGACCAGGGUGGUCGCAGACGAAGAUGAGGG